rnacentral:rRNA from 1 species
CGCGGUAUUUUGACUGUGCAAAGGUAGCAUAAUCAUUUGUCUUUUAAUUGAAGACUUGUAUGAAUGGUUGAACGAGAAAAUAACUGUCUCUUUAAAAAAUCUUGAAUUUUACUUUUAAGUGAAAAGGCUUAAAUAAUUUUAAGGGACGAUAAGACCCUAUAAAUCUUUAUACUAUUUUUCUUUAAAUUUCAAACUAUAUAUUAAAAGAAAAAAAAAGAAAAAAAAUAUUAUAUUGGGGAGAUAAAAAUAUAAUUUUUAACUGUUUUAAAAAUAAAACAAUAAUUUUUGAUUAAAAAAAAAUUGAUCCUUUUUAAAGAUUUAAAGACUAAGUUACUUUAGGGAUAACAGCGUAAUUUUUUUUGAGAGUUCUUAUCGAAAUAAAAGUUUGCGACCUCGAUGUUGAAUUAAAAUAUCCUUAUAAGUGUAGAAGCUAUAAAGGAAAGUCUGUUCGACUUUUAAAAUUUUACAU